GGCAUACAGGUGAGAUGUAGGAGUACACCAUCACUGAACAUGAUCAACUGCAGAGCACUCUGCUAUCAAGGGUAGCUCGUGAAGGAUAUAGGUAUAAGUGUCUCUCCGACCUGAGAUCACCAUGGUGACUUGCAAGCAACUCACUGUACUUUGAUGUUAGACUAACUGAGUUUCUAAUUUAGUGAUAAAAGAUUUUUGGGUGUAGUCAAG
rnacentral:lncRNA from 1 species